CAGCCGCCGCGGGAAUACGUAGGGUGCAAGCGUUAAUCGGAAUUACUGGGCGUAAAGCGUGCGCAGGCGGUUAUAUAAGACAGAUGUGAAAUCCCCGAGCUCAACCUGGGACCUGCAUUUGUGACUGUGUAGCUAGAGUACGGUAGAGGGGGAUGGAAUUCCGCGUGUAGCAGUGAAAUGCGUAGAUAUGCGGAGGAACACCGAUGGCGAAGGCAAUCCCCUGGACCUGUACUGACGCUCAUGCACGAAAGCGUGGGGAGCAAACAGGAUUAGAUACCCGUGUAGUCCCUGUCUCUUAUAC
rnacentral:rRNA from 1 species